rnacentral:rRNA from 1 species
UACGUAGGGGGCUAGCGUUGUCCGGAAUCAUUGGGCGUAAAGCGCGUGUAGGCGGCCCGGUAAGUCCGCUGUGAAAGUCGGGGGCUCAACCCUCGGAUGCCGGUGGAUACUGUCGGGCUAGAGUGCGGAAGAGGCGAGUGGAAUUCCUGGUGUAGCGGUGAAAUGUGUAGAGAUCGGGAGGAACACCGGUGGCGAAGGCGGGUCUCUGGGCAUUUCCUGACGCUGAGGCGCGAAAGCGUGGGGAGCAAACGGG